GCGGGGGUUGCCGAGUCAGGAAAAGGCGCAAGGCUUAAGACCUUGUCCCGCAGGGGUCCGAGGGUUCAAAUCCCUCCCCCCGCA
rfam:Archaeoglobus sulfaticallidus PM70-1, complete genome.